GAGACACCCUUCUGGGGCAAGACUUGCUUCGGUAGGGCUUUGGUGCUCACUGAGUCUGCCCCCUGAGUGUGUCCCU
rnacentral:pre_miRNA from 1 species